UCAAAGAUGUACUCGUGAGGAGUACGUAAAGAACUUAUGAAUGAAUCACUAUCUUGAUCAUUCUUACAACCAAGUCUAGAAACAUAUAUACUAAACAAUCUAGACUACAAAGAAUGUACUUGUGAGAAGUACGUAAAUAAUGUACUCAUAAGGAGUACGUAAAGAAUGUACUCAUGAAGAGUACAAACAACCGAUUCUAAAACCACACUAAAACAAUCACGUAUUCUCUUCAGCUCUCGGUUUUUAUCUCGUAGAAUCGAUCAUCUUCCUUGAGUAUUGAAGUCGGUAUUUAUAGGCAUUCCAAGCAUCCACUACUUAGCCCAUGAUCUGCAAGAAAACCAACCACAAGAGCACUCAAGAUAAUGGGUUAGUGGGUUAGUU
rnacentral:lncRNA from 1 species